AAUGGUAACUGUUAUAAUUAUGGUCUGCAAACAGUUGAACAGUUGUUCAUGUUCGAGUAAUGUAAGUGAACUUAUUCAUACCAUAACAGCUGUUGUACCUUGAGCUGGCCGGACUUGAAAAAUUUGUGAUCCAUUUUUUUUCACAUACGACAGUUCGACAGUUUGUUUUCCAAGCGCGGUGGCUGUUCGGAGUGCUGGUGCAACCGAAAUUAGAUUUUUCGCUUGCUUGCCGCGUCUGAUCUUUCGAUCCAGCUAAAGAAACCCCAAGCUGCAGUGAUCCCCACAGAAGAUUCCGCGACUAAAACGAUCGAAGAACAAAUGAUUCCUACUCAAAAUAUACGCAAGAAUGUAAUUGCAUGUUUUGUCAAGAAAAGUGAUUAUAAGGACGAAUGAGCACCUCAUUUAAACACUCGCCGAAUGUUAUUAUUUCGACAAUCAUCAACGAUCAACUACCAGAUCGAUUCUAUUAAAUAUAUUCGAUUUGUCUGCGGAAUGCGUUUCUAGACUAGGCUGGCUGUAUUAGGAUUGCUGUCUUCGUUGACAGCGAGGUUGGUGCGACGAUUGAGGGGAUCAGAAAACAGAAUCCAUUUGUAAUUCUGUUUGACUCUUGAGAAAAUCGGCUACGCGAGCGAUCUGUCGAGGCCAUACGAGGAUCGUGGCUGCUGCAGCAGCCUUGUUAAGUGCACUCAUUUGGAUGUGUUGCAGUACAAGGAGGAGUACGUAGAAGAACCCAACCUUUCCUGAUGUUUUGUGCGCUCUUCACAUUUUGGAGCAUUGAAAAAUAUGUUUUAAUCAAACAGUGACCAAGUUUUGAUGGAUCUCUUUAUAUCAGUUGUGUUUAUCCGACCGGGUGCUGCCCUAAUUCCAUGCCAUCUGUCUGAAAUUCUUUACCGGAUAUCAACCUCUAACGAUUCGAUCGACUUACUGAAUGGUAAAGCAAAGCGUCUGACUCCGCUGCAAACAAAGUAUACAAAAUGCUCCAAAAGGUUCACUGUCGUUCAACGAUCAUCCUCAUGGAAUGUGUAAAGUACGACGGAACGGCACUGUUUACCCGCUUUAGUGGCAGUUUGAAAAAGGCUGAAGGGAGCAUCGCCCACAAAACCGGACAAAAUGCAUGACAAGAAGUACCUAACUUAGUUGUAAUUCAAGAAGCGCAAAAUAUACAUA